rnacentral:snoRNA from 1 species
AAGCAAGAUUCAGACUACAAUAUAGCUGUUAAGUGUGUGCUGUCAUUCCCCCUGCUCAAAAUAAAGGUGUUUCUUAACCAUACCUGUCUGUAAUAGUUCUGUAGCAGUAAGGGACACUUGGUCUCAUACAU